UGCAAGUCGAACGAGAAUCUGUGGAAAGAGGAUUCGUCCAAUUGAAGCAGAGGACAGUGGCGGACGGGUGAGUAACGCGUGAGGAACCUGCCUUUCAGAGGGGGACAACAGUUGGAAACGACUGCUAAUACCGCAUGACACAUCGGAGUCGCAUGGCUCUGAUGUCAAAGAUCUAUCGCUGAAAGAUGGCCUCGCGUCUGAUUAGCUAGUUGGUGAGGUAACGGCCCACCAAGGCGACGAUCAGUAGCCGGACUGAGAGGUUGAACGGCCACAUUGGGACUGAGAUACGGCCCAGACUCCUACGGGAGGCAGCAGUGGGGAAUAUUGGGCAAUGGGCGCAAGCCUGACCCAGCAACGCCGCGUGAAGGAAGAAGGCUUUCGGGUUGUAAACUUCUUUUGUCAGGGACGAGUAGAAGACGGUACCUGACGAAUAAGCCACGGCUAACUACGUGCCAGCAGCCGCGGUAAUACGUAGGUGGCAAGCGUCGUCCGGAUUUACUGGGUGUAAAGGGCGUGUAGCCGGGAGGGCAAGUCAGAUGUGAAAUCCACGGGCUCAACUCGUGAACUGCAUUUGAAACUACUCUUCUUGAGUAUCGGAGAGGCAAUCGGAAUUCCUAGUGUAGCGGUGGAAUGCGUAGAUAUUAGGAGGAACACCAGUGGCGAAGGCGGAUUGCUGGACGACAACUGACGGUGAGGCGCGAAAGCGUGGGGAGCAAACAGGAUUAGAUACCCUGGUAGUCCACGCUGUAAACGAUGAAUACUAGGUGUGCGGGGACUGACCCCCUGCGUGCCGCAGCUAACGCAAUAAGUAUUCCACCUGGGGAGUACGAUCGCAAGGUUGCAACUCAAAUGAAUUGACGGA
rnacentral:rRNA from 1 species